GACGAACGCUGGCGGCGUGCUUAACACAUGCAAGUCGAACGGAAAGGCCCUGCUUUUGUGGGGUGCUCGAGUGGCGAACGGGUGAGUAACACGUGAGUAACCUGCCCUUGACUUUGGGAUAACUUCAGGAAACUGGGGCUAAUACCGGAUAGGAGCUCCUGCUGCAUGGUAGGGGUUGGAAAGUUUCGGCGGUUGGGGAUGGACUCGCGGCUUAUCAGCUUGUUGGUGGGGUAGUGGCUUACCAAGGCUUUGACGGGUAGCCGGCCUGAGAGGGUGACCGGCCACAUGGGGACUGAGAUACGGCCCAGACUCCUACGGGAGGCAGCAGUGGGGAAUAUUGCACAAUGGGCGGGAGCCUGAUGCAGCAACGCCGCGUGCGGGAUGACGGCCUUCGGGUUGUAAACCGCUUUCGCCUGUGACGAAGCGUGAGUGACGGUAAUGGGUAAAGAAGCACCGGCUAACUACGUG
rnacentral:rRNA from 1 species